CGCCAGCUUGCCGGGCAGGGAGGAGCGGAACUCGUCAAUGAAUGCACUCAUCACGCACUCGACCAUUGAGAACUGGAAACACACACGUGAAAUGUGAAACUAUUUCAGGUUUGGAUUAAAAAGGAUGUGAAUCUCACCUGGGAUCCGAAUCCGAGAGUUGCCAUCAUGAGGAAGAAGAAGACGGCCCACAGAGAGGGUGCUAAUUACGACAUAUAGGCCAAGACAGAAAUGGACACAGACAAUGGAUCACAGCCCCUCUUCAAAAUGACUGGGACAGUAUCUACACCCACCUCCAUCGGCGACAUCCGCGACGGAGACACCCU